GGUGAACGCUAGCGGCAGGCCUAAUACAUGCAAGUCGAACGAUAGAAGAGGGCUUGCUAGCUUGAGACCGGCGCACGGGUGCGUAACGCGUAUGCAACCUACCUCAAUCAGGGGGAUAGCCCGGAGAAAUCCGGAUUAACACCGCAUAAAAACACAGGGUAGCAUUACCCAAUGUUCAAAUAUUAAUAGGAUUGGGAUGGGCAUGCGUGCCAUUAGCCAGUUGGCGGGGUAACGGCCCACCAAGGCGACGAUGGGUAGGAUCUGAGAGGAUGACCCCCCACACUGGUACUGAGACACGGACCAGACUCCUACGGGGGGCAGCAGUAAGGAAUAUUGGUCAAUGGGGGCAACCCUGAACCAGCCAUGCCGCGUGCAGGAUGACGGCCCUCCGGGUUGUAAACUGCUUUUGUACGGGAAUAAACCUUUCUUCGUGAAGAAAGCUGAAUGUACCGUAAGAAUAAGGAUCGGCUAACUCCGUGCCAGCAGCCGCCGUAA
rnacentral:rRNA from 1 species